AUACGGAGGAUCCGAGCGUUAUCCGGAUUUAUUGGGUUUAAAGGGAGCGUAGGUGGACAGUUAAGUCAGUUGUGAAAGUUUGCGGCUCAACCGUAAAAUUGCAGUUGAUACUGGCUGUCUUGAGUACAGUAGAGGUGGGCGGAAUUCGUGGUGUAGCGGUGAAAUGCUUAGAUAUCACGAAGAACUCCGAUUGCGAAGGCAGCUCACUGGACUGCAACUGACACUGAUGCUCGAAAGUGUGGGUAUCAAACAGGAUUAGAUACCCUGGUAGUCCACACAGUAAACGAUGAAUACUCGCUGUUUGCGAUAUACAGUAAGCGGCCAAGCGAAAGCAUUAAGUAUUCCACCUGGGGAGUACGCCGGCAACGGUGAAACUCAAAGGAAUUGACGGGGGCCCGCACAAGCGGAGGAACAUGUGGUUUAAUUCGAUGAUACGCGAGGAACCUUACCCGGGCUUAAAUUGCAUUUGAAUAUAUUGGAAACAGUAUAGUCGUAAGACAAAUGUGAGGGUGCUGCAUGGUUGUCGUCAGCUCGUGCCGUGAGGUGUCGGCUUAAGUGCCAUAACGAGCGCAACCCUUAUCUUUAGUUACUAACAGGUCAUGCUGAGGACUCUAGAGAGACUGCCGUCGUAAGAUGUGAGGAAGGUGGGGAUGACGUCAAAUCAGCACGGCCCUUACGUCCGGGGCUACACACGUGUUACAAUGGGGGGUACAGAAGGCAGCUACCUGGCGACAGGAUGCUAAUCCCAAAAACCUCUCUCAGUUCGGAUCGAAGUCUGCAACCCGACUUCGUGAAGCUGGAUUCGCUAGUAAUCGCGCAUCAGCCAUGGCGCGGUGAAUACGUUCCCGGGCCUUGUACACACCGCCCGUCAAGCCAUGAAAGCCGGGGGUACCUGAAGUACGUAACCGCAAGGAGCGUCCUAGGGUAAAACUGGUAAUUGGGGCU
rnacentral:rRNA from 1 species